rnacentral:rRNA from 1 species
AUAAGUGGCCAAAUGUCUUUGUAAAAAGCUUGAUUUCGUCAGUUCUUAGAAGCUAAGGAAGGCUGGGUCUGAUUAGUACUUGGAUGGCAGACUGCUGGGAAUAUCACAUGUCUUAUU